rnacentral:rRNA from 1 species
AUUGAACGCUGGCGGCAUGCCUUACACAUGCAAGUCGAACGGCAGCACGGAGCUUGCUCUGGUGGCGAGUGGCGAACGGGUGAGUAAUAUAUCGGAACGUACCCAAGAGUGGGGGAUAACGUAGCGAAGGUUACGCUAUUACCGCAUACGAUCUAAGGAUGAAAGCAGGGGACCGCAAGGCCGUGUGCUCCUGGAGCGGCCGAUAGCGGAUUAGCUAGUUGGGGAGGUAAAGGCUCACCAAGGCAUCGAUCAGUAGCUGGUCGGAGAGGACGACCAGCCACACUGGAACUGAGACACGGUCCAGACUCCUACGGGAGGCAGCAGUGGGGAAUUUUGGACAAUGGGGGCAAACCUGAUCCAGCAAUGCCGCGUGAGUGAAGAAGGCCUUCGGGUUGUAAAGCUCUUUUGUCAGGGAAGAAACGGUGAAGGCUAAUAUCCUUUGCUAAUGACGGUACCUGAAGAAUAAGCACCGGCUAACUACGUGCCAGCAGCCGCGGUAA